rnacentral:lncRNA from 1 species
CUGCGCCGCAGUGUGCUGUACCUGGAAACCAGAGAUUUGCGGUGUUCGGAACCGAUUCAUCAGGGUCCCCGGCACAACACUUUAUUCUCUGGACGUGCCGGGGGCGGGGGGUGUUCACUUUGCCUCGGAGGGAGACCCCUCCUCUAGGUGUGAAAGAUGCUAGCCCAGCGCCCAUGGGGUGUCGAAAGCAACAUAUAAAGGUUCGAAACUCGGGAAACCGCGAUCGCCUGCGCUAGCACAUACACACGGUCCUGCGCACACUCAGUCUGCACCCGCCCUUCCACCCUCCCUGAUUUGCUUCUGGGAAAACAAGCCUUGAGAGCUGCGGACUCGCCCUAAGUCACGGUGCUUAAGCAGGAGUCCCUGGUAGAAACAGGCUGAAAACUCCCCUCCCCGCUCACUGGUGGAGUCAUAUCCUGUGCGGCCUCUAGGAAGCGCUAGACACAUGCUUGCUUCAUAAAGUCAUCUUCUCAUAUCACCUGGUAAUGUAAGGGACUUCAAGAACACACAGAAGAACAGAGCCCUUGAUCUCUGAAUGACCCCGUGGAAGGAGACUCACUG